GCUGCCCUAGAAACAGGGCAGACAAAUCUCCUUAAAAUUAGAAAUGACCCCCUGUGAAACCAUAAAUCCUGUCCAUUCCCAUCCUCUUUCUGUUUCCCUGUAUGAACUAUAUAUAUUGCCCCUAUUUUUAUACAUGCACCCUAAGCAGUGAGCUAAAUUCUGGGUUCAAAUGGAAUUAUGUGCUAGCUUCUAGCUUACUUGAAACUGCGUUAUCCCCAUCUCUCCUUGGCUGGGAUCUGUCUCUGAAGGUAACUCUUUAAGGUGUAGAUGCAAAAUGACUGUCAGGAAGGAGUUUGCCCUAGGAACUGCCUCUUCCAUGUUCUAGUUAGCUGCUAAUGAAAAAAAAAACUUAUUCUAAAGUAGUUUUGUUUUCAUUUCUGAGUCUUUUCCAGAGAGAAAAGAAUAGUUUAUUCUGUUGAAAGUGAUGGCUGUACCUUUCAUUGGGUAUUUAUGAUCCUUAUUAUAAGCACGUGGGACACAAAACAGUUAACAGGCGAACAGACUGAACUGAGAUAUGACAAAACAUCAGCAAAGGCAUAUGGUAUAAAUCUGACAGGUGAAGCAUGGAGAUGAAGAUCAGCCUAGCAGCUCUUAAUUUUCAUUUCCACUCAAACUUCAACAGAGAUGAAGAACCGCCCCAAGAAGCAGCUGCACUUUUCUUAUGGUUUACCUGGCACAGACUCAAGAAGGGCCUUUACCUUUCAGAGGAGGAAUGCUUCUUCUCCAAAACUUUCUGUAUUAUCCAUCUUGUUCUUUCCUAUCUUAGUCAAUUCCUGGAAAUCAAACACACCAGAGAGUUCUUAUUUGUCUUUCUGUUUGCUUGCAGAGCUAUAGUUAGGAGAGGUAAUCCUUAUGGCUUGGACUCAGUUAUUCCACUGGCUUAUGCUUUGUCUUCUGAAAUACAGACAUUUCUCCUUGCCAAAAGGCCAGCUGAAGCUUAUCCUGUUCUCCCUAACUAGUUGACUUUUGUUUCUUCCUCUGUCAGCAUUUAAUUAAGGUUAUUCCCUAUCUUAAUUAGCCAAUACCAGUUCUCUAUCAUCUCUCUCCUAACCUCUUCUGUCAUGUUUACACAAGGCCCAGACUGACCCAUAGCUCAGCAAGGUGCAAACUGCAUUGUCUCUUCCCUGACUCACCUUUCUCUAUUUCUCACCUCUAUCCCCAGAGCUAAAAUCAAAAAGCCUUGGCCACUUUAUUGCCACCUUAUUGAAUCUUAAGCAGUAUUUCUAUUGGGGUUUCAAUGCUACCUGGGACACUGCAGUGCCAGAAUUGCAUAAGUAUGUCAUGAAAACACAGAGGAAGGGGAGCAGGUUGGAGUCAAGUUGCCAAUGAAUGUUGAAUAAUGGAACUAGAAAAAUGCUGAGAGUCACUUUAAGCUGGAAGCUUACAUUAACAUCUUUAUUCUAUAAUUACAUGGUAUACUCAACGGUUCUUAUUUUCGAUGGGUGUUGUGCAGUAAAGAUGCAUUAGAGUAAUUAUAUUGUAAUGACAGAAGAUCAGGAGUUAAAGAUGUUGUGGAUCUUGUUAGUAUACGCAUCUGAAAUUGUUUGGAGCUGAUUUGGGAGGUGUAUCCACAUGGAAUUUGAUAACACUGAUAUUGUAAUUAAAGCUGAGGAGAUGGGGUUUGUACUUAUUUCCUACUGCUGCCUGUGAAUAUUAAGUAGCUCAUGUAAUCACCUGACCCUAGCAAUAAUCAACUCUGUUAGUCAGAGCAGGAGGGAAAAUGUGAAUUGUCCACUAAAUAUUUAUUGAGAAAGCCAAGAUGAAAACAGCACAGUUGUAAUGGAGAACAGAGGCUCCUGGGCUUCCAGGAGCCUCCUUCCUGGUGCAAGGAAGAGCAGAAUCCUUCCAGUCUCCUCCAGCCUCUGCCUCAUGGAGGACAAGGACACUUGCACCACAAAGACGACAAACGCACCUGGUUUGGCACACAAAUGAGAACUAUAGUCUGAAGUGAUCUCAGGUUUCUGAUGACAGCUGAGACUUCUUUUUGUUGCUUGUAUUCCUGCCAGCACAAGCUAUAAGGAGGAGAGGUGAUCCCAAAAGGCAGAAAAUGUAGAUCUGAGCUGAAGGGCAUUCCUAAGUCUGGACACCCUGGAUAAAAACUUGUGUGACUGUUUCUGAGUGCUUCAGCAUCACCCUCAGAAGAGGGAAAUAACACUUCAUCUCUUGCCAAGAGAAGGUAUGGGGAGGGGAACCUGUCUCUUCUACCCGGGAAAGCCCCAAGAAUUUAAGUAAAACUGAAAAGCCUAUCCUCAAGACAGAAUACACAAGUGAUAAAUGUCUUUGCCUGGCAAAGCAAUCCCUUUCACAGUUCACACCAAUGGUGUAGAGUGAGCUUUGGGGAUACCCAGAAAAAGGAGUUUCAGAGAGAGAUUUGAAUGCUUCCUUUUUAAAAAUGGCAGUCUUUAAAGCCAUAGAGAAAAUGAAGACCUGUCUGUAUCUGUAGCAUAGCUUGGUAGCUCUCUUUCUCUCCCUGUUAGGUUCUGGUCUUGUUUGCUGCAGCAGCAGUCUUCCUAAUGGUUUCCUGAUAAAACUCAUUAGUGUGUUCAGAUUUUUGUCCUUCUCAAAGCUCCUUUGACUCUUUCCAUCACAAUCCCCUCCCCUGUCAUGAGGCUCUGAUCACCCGUGGUAUAUAGCCUUCAGAGUCUGUGUGGAGGGGCAGGCUGUGCUGGAAAUGUGGUGCAUACUGAAUCGCUUCAGGGUUGGCUAGGCAGUAAUUCUCAGAAGAGGUGGCGGAGCACGGUGCUGCUGUGUGCUGGUGCCUUGCUGCUGCUCUGCUGGAGAUCCGUGAGCAGCAACAGCACUGCAAGUCCUCUUUCUUCUUUCCUGACAGCGCCGCAGUACCUGUAUCUUAAUCAGUCAGUGUCAGACAGUGUCACAGGCUCGAAAUGCUUCUCUAAGCAAAGCACAGCACAAAUACCUCCCUGCUGCUUGUAGCUUAGGUUACCAUUACCAGACUAGGCUCCCGAUGUAACACUUAAAUGCUCCAAAGCAGCUGAAAUCCUCGGGCAUGUCGGCGCCAACACGUGUGCAGAACAGGACACCCCUCGGCCCCACACCAGACUGCUUCUGUGCUCUCGUGAUUCUCACUGCAGCUGCCACUCCAGUAGCAACAGCACAGGCAGAGGCAGAGCUGACAAAGGACCGCCGGUGUGGCUGAUGCGAUUUCAGUCGUGUAUGUUAUAGCAAAAAGAAUGAGGACAUGUUGUAUUUCUUAUAUCAAAAUGAUAUGUGCUCCUCAGGCUGUCUGAUUUAUAACUUCCCUGAAUGGCAUUAUUGAAAUCAGAAAGGAACAAGGCGGAAACCUAUCCAAAAUGAAAUGGUGACAUAAAUAAGAGUUUUAGAGGAAACAACGGAAGAGCUGACAAUAGGCAAUAAUUGCAGCUCCAUCAAAGCUAGAGUAGUUUACUGUUCCCAGCAGUGAAUCUAGCAUCAAAGGGAAUCCUAAACCUGAAACCCUUGGAAAGAAGUGAGUUAUCAGCAGUACAAGGUGAUUCCUGUGGAGAACAAAGAGAACGUUUUGUGAGUGGGACAGCCUGGACUUCCCCAAAUUGGAGGCAGAGUGCUCUUCCCUGAGCGUGCUGAGGUUAAGAUUGGGCUUUUAGGCCUUUUGCUGUGUCUGCAUUUUCCUUGAGGCCUUGUACCAUUGAGGCAUGGGGAAAUAGGGCUUUAUUUUUCAAAAGAUUAUUCAAGUUGCAUCUGUUCAGAGGAUCUUGCCAGAGAAGUCUUCAAGUUCCCUCGGUUAGACCUGUUGUGUUAACAGAGGAAUCUGCUGAACCUUGGCACCAUGGGCACGGAAUAUUUACGGCAGCUUUAUUAAAAUUUUGGUGUUAAAAUACUUUACUGAAUAACAGCCAGCAAUCAUAAAUUUCAGUAACUUGAAUUUUAGCUUGUCGGUUAUCUUUUGAGUGUCCUUCUGAUGCUGUGUGUGUGGAAGAAAAGUAACUGAUUGUUUGGAGCUCUUGCCUAUGUUCAAUUAAUGUGGAAAUGCAGAGGGGAGAUGAUAACUUUCCACUAGGUGUUCCAAUUUGUCUGGGUCAGUCUGUGCACUAACAAGAACUGUCUUCACGUGCAGAGGAAGGCAGUUUUACUUUUGUCUUUGAUUUUCACUGACAGUAUUCCUUCUGUCCCCUUCAAACAAUAAGCAUUCACCCAUCCUUUGGGCUGGGUUACAAGAGUGGCUCAGUGUGGUAUAUCCUCCACAGCAUUCAAACCAAUCAUACCCAAGUCUUUCUACUUGAUGAUAUGUAUGAUAACAAUUUUAAGAUGUCUCUUUCCAUGCGUGUACACAAAAGGAUGAAGAAAUUGUGGUAUUUUUAUUACAUGCAAAAGGCUAUUCACCCAUUUGAGCUGUUGUUGAAUUGAAACCUUGUUCAAAAACAAGAUAAAAAGUGAAAACAGUAUGCUUGGUUUUCAUCUUUGAAAUCUUACACAGAUUUUAAGUAAUUUGGGAACGAGAGAGAGGACAAAAAUGCUUAAAUACUGCAUAUUCAGAGGUCUUAGCUUUAGUAAAAUGUUCUGGCUUUAUGACUCUGCCUUGUAAUUCAUUUCAGCUACCCCAGAAGUAAGAAGACAGCAGUGGUGUUUCAGGGGCUGACUGCAGAGGUCGUAACCUUCUGCACACAAUAUAUUGAACAAUUCCAUCAUUCUUGUAUUCAAAGUGAAUUUGGACUGACAUAGCAGAAUAGAAAAAAUGCUUAAUAAUCCAGGGGUUUUAUUACACACACACACACACACACACACUGUCUCAUAGGUAUGCAUUCAGCAAAGAAUGGGUGUGACACUAUAAUAGGUGUACUAAAAAAGGCAAUCUGUUCACGCCAAUAUCUGCAUUCAACACACUGAGAUUAAAAACAACUGUUUUCACUUAUUCUGGUAUUUAUCCUGAUCAGCUUUCUGUUUGUUUAAGAAAAUCUGUUACGCAAAGUGGUAAAUAUGAAAUUUAAGAGACAGUAUUUUUUAUGAGUAGUGGUAGACGCUGUGCUCUGAGCCAAGAAAGGGAUGGAGGAGGCAUUGUCCUGGCAAGCACUGGGCUGCGUGCAUGUCCUCUGGUGAGGAGAGAAACUUUCCGCUGCGCUGCCCCUCCAGCUUCCUCAAGAGCAACCAUGGUGAGUGCUUCCAGGGGCCAACUCAUCAGCCCAGGUGCUGAAUCAGCCCAAGAAUUUUUAGCUACAGGAGAAAAAUGGAUCACACCAGAGGACUUUCUCCUUGAAGAGAACUUCACCCUGUUCUAAUCAGAGAUGCAAAUUAUGGAGGUACUCCGGGCUCCUUUAACCAUUCUCAGCAUCUUAUUGCAAUAAGAAUUGGAAUUCAUGGUCAAGCACUUUUCAUCUUAGGCAAAAUCAUAGUUAACCCUUUGAUGUGAUUAAAGUAUGUAGGGAGAUCUCCCAGACUUCCAUCUCCUGGAUAAGAUAAGCAAGGAAACCACAGUAUGCCUUAGGAGAAAGAGAAGCUUUCCAGCUUCCAGCUGUCUCCUGCCCAUUUCCAGAUGCUCACUUGAGCUGUAGGAGUUGUGGACCAAUUUCACCAACAGAUGAGAGUACCUCAGAACUUUUCAUACUCUUGGGCCCAACUGACCCUCUAAAAAUCAGGACCAAGGAUAGGAUACUGAGCUUUAAAUCCAGGGCUUUAAGGCCUUAACUGUUGAUUAGAACACAGAACCAUCCUUCCACUAUAGAGAAGUUCCUCACCAUGAGUAAUUCUUCAUUAUCAUCACUUAUUUCCUAAUUGCUUUUGCUUUGCAGUCUGACUUAUAUUAUCAUGAAAUGAAUUACAUUGUAUAACCACUGCUACCAAACUCUUCAACCAUAUGUUGUCAGUCAUACUUUUUCUUCUCGUCAUUGCAUUACUGUCAUGCUCUAAGCUGUUUAUGAGUUUUGAAAUAUGAAAUUUUGGUCUUGCUCAGUUUUAAGAUAACCCUGCUGCUUAAAUGAAGGAAUAUCACAUUUACCAUACAGAGAGAUUUAUUUAAAAGCCAACUGUGAAUUACACGGAGGAAUCUGCAGUAAACCAUGACAAUAAAUAAUGAGAGGAUGUUUGCCUGGAGGACUUGUCCCUAAUGAGGUUUGGUCUUAAAUAGGCAUUCUGUUUGGAAAUCAGAUACCUUUUGUUUCUUGAGGUUUUCAUGUUUCUCCCUAUUAAGUGGGGUUUUCUGAGAGAUUUGUUAGUAAUGGGGUCAGUAAUGGUUACACUUUACAGGAAAAUGUGUGACUAUGAAAAUACUUGGGGGGGUUGGGGGGGGGGAAGGGAAGGAAGUGGAAAAUAAUAAUGUUAGGUCCUAUUCAUGUACAAGUCCAAUUUCUGAUAUUUAUUUGCUUGUUUAUAACCUAAAAAUCUUAUCAAGACAGCACAGCUGUUUUGGAAGGAGGCAAACCCAAGAAUUCUAAAAAUGAGAUUAUAUUGUUAAGUAAAAACCUAUUAUUAGGGUUCAUAUUUCUACUCUGAAGUGCACCUCCUUAUAUUGUUACAGUCUUGUGUAGGAGCUGUUCUCAAACAGUCUUUCUGGAGACUUAUUUGCUGAAUGCUUCUGAGAUACCAGAAGGUAAACAGAUAGCCUGGAAAAGGGAUAGGAAAGUUACCAGAUCUCAGAAUUCUCCUGUAAACAAAUUCCCACUGAUUAAAAGGUAGCUGGAGUAUAUGGAAGGCCACAAUUAUCAAAAAGCAGUAUGUUUGGCAGACAGUUUUGGUUGGAUCUUUCAAGCUACAUUUACCUCCACCUUGAUUUCUAAUAACUAUCUUCUGGGAUGAAGUUCUCCUCUGCUCAUUAGUAGCUUGUUCCCAUACUGGGCAGAACUCCCCUUAAAAAUAGAGGAAAGAGGGGAAUAAUACUGUUAAACACCUAAAUUAAAUAAGCCCUCUCAUGAUCUAAAGCAGCCCAACCAUUUACUUACUGCAGUGAGCAGUAUGUCCUCAAGUUAAGGAGAAUGACAAUGGAAAAAUCUUUACCUCAGCUGCACAUCUGAUAGCCCUGAGGCAGAAAACAGGUUUGAAAAGCAUCUAACCAGUAGCUGUGCAGUGUCUGGCUAUUCAGGUGGUACAUGAUUUGGCAGCCAAGUUAAAUUCAAGAAAAAAAAAAUUGCUCCUCACCUUUGGCAACAUCUGCUUGAGUGACAAAGUGAGAGAUCAGUCGCUCUGCACUCCAAAACCUAGUUUUAUUUCUGACUUGCAUUCAUUGUGCUUGGUCACUGUGCUUUGCACUAACCCAACUGCUUGAACCUCUCACAGUGCAAGCAACUUGAUAAUGCAAUACUCCAACAAAAGAUUGAAAGAGAAUGCAGCAAGCUUAACACAUCCCUCUGAUUACUCUAUAAGGGGGAGUUAGAUUCUUAAAAAAAAAAAAAAAAAAAUCCCUGGUGGCCUCACUGUUUUCCAGGCAUCUUUCUAGAUAAACUUUUCCUAUGGUAAAAUCAUUACAAAGUAGAAAUACAGUCUCUCCAAGGGCUACCUUGAAAACCUAGUCUAAUAUAAAGAGCUAUAACACAGUAAUGAAUCCUGUAGGCAAAAUAGGGCUUGUUUUGACCAGCUUUAUCAAGUGAAGAAAUGGGAGAAAACUUUCCAUUAGGAGAAUGUUAUUUUUGACUGAACUAUAUUUUGGGAUGUUACAAAGCCAAGGUCUCUCAGAAGGCUGGAGCCCAAACUCUAAACUGAAAAACACUUGAACUUUUUGAAAUGUGAGCUCUUACCUGCGUUGUAUUUUUGAAAAGGUAGUGCUGAGAAUGCUGAUGUUUGAAUCUCUCUGAAAUUUAAAUCUGGAGCUAGUUUCAAUUUUUGCCUCUUCAUGGCAGCUGCAGCAUUUUUCUGCUUUCAUUCCCUUAGAGGCUGUUGCAGGGUGCACGUUCUGUGAUAAAGGAGGCUGUGAGUAUUUUACUGCUACAAAGGAAGGAUGUCCCUUCCCAGUCACCUGCAGCUAUAUCAGGGCCUCCGAUAGGUGACAAAAUAACAAAUAUACCUCCACCAGAGAAGCAUGAAGGGAAUCCAGGCUAAUAUGACCUCACAGAUCUCUGAAAAUACUUACUGGGAAUUUUUAUAUGUAAGGAUAACACAAAGUGAAGCCCCUCCUAAAAGAAAACUUGAAAGCAGCCAGUGGGGUAGAAAGGGGGUGAGGGGAAAAAAAACCUAAUUCUUAGUAAAAAAAAAAAGCAAAUUUCUUUUUGAGAGAAAGACAAAACAGAUGAUAGCUAAGGUAGAGAUUAGCAAGCAUACAGAAGGAUAUACACAGUACUGAAAAGUGGAGACACCUACAAAAAUAUUCUUUACCUUCUUAAGAUGCAAUUGUAACUAUUUGUAAAAUGGAUUUGAGACUAACAAUGCAGCUUACUCUCAUGUAAGAUAAUGCUUAAUUUGGAACAACUACAACAAAACCUAAGAAGCACACUGAUAAAGCUGGAGUGAGUUUUAUAGUAAUCAAGCUAUAAAAAUAGGGUUUUUAAAUCUUCAUAUUCAUAUAAAUCAAAUAUUCAUUCAUAUAAAUCUUUAGAUUAUAAUCAACUAAACAUAAAAUAUGAAUUCCCCAUUUAGUGUUAAUUAAGAUCCUUGUGUGUAAUGGGAAAUUUUGGAUGUUUGAAAUCACAGCAUUUCUGCUACCUACAAAGAGACUGUAACAUGAUUCAGUGCCUUAACAACAAACAUAUAAAACAAACUCCUAACAACUGCACUUCAGAAUUGUACCUAAUUUCUUUCCAGCCGAGCAAUAAUCUCUGAGAAUGUACCCAUUUAAGUAGUAAAAUUACACUGGAUGAAUGUCAAAGAUCAUCUCCCGUCCGUUCUGAGAACAUUUGCAGUUACUGUGGCAGAGGUGUGGGUUUUGUGGCUUGGUUAGUUUUUGUUCCUUUUUUUUUUCUUUGUUUCUUGGUUUUAUUUAAUAUCUGAAGGUGCCAUGUGGUGCCCUGCUGCUUUUAUUUGUUGCUGGUGGUAUUUGGUAUUGGUUUUUUUUUCCUUAAGCUAUGCCCAUGAAAAGCUAUGAUUCUGUGUUGCCAUAAUGCCUGUCGAAAGCUUUGUGAUGACUUUAGGUCAAAUUUUAUUUUCUGAUAGGUGAUGGUGUGGUUAUUGUUUUUCUUUGGGCAUGGGCCAAACCACGCAGAUGGCAUACUAGGACGAGCCUGUGGAAGGAGACCAAUGGUUUUGUUGCCAACUCUUCGAGAAAAUCAGAGGAGCGACUGGGAAAUCUGUCUUCCAUGGAAAAGAGGAAAGAUGCUAAGGGACAGGAUGUACCCUCCUUGACAGUGUGGUCAAACAGCCAGCUUCCUCACUUGUCCCUAAAGAGCUCUCAGACAACUGUCUAGAAAAGUGCACAGUCUCCCCAGCUGUUAACAGCAGGAUAUACUGCAGCACUCCAGACUGCUGCUGCCAUGUCGUUUCAGUGCCUCCGGGGUCAGCUCAGUGUAUUAAAUUAACAGUUUUCCCAGGCAAUGCAAAAUGUCUGUGAACAGAAUGGUGCAGCAUAAUAAUGGGAUACAAGGGGAAGAUACCUGCUUAAAUAUGAAAUGUUUUGGUAAGAGCAGGAGACGUUGAAGUGGUUCUGACUUACAUGACUUAGUGCCAAACACACGUUGUCACGCAGCAGUCCCAGCACGCUGUGUCUGUUCACCACCACUUCACAUUUUCAUAGCUUAUUUUAGAACAGUUGCAUUUUUUUUUCCAUCCUUAAUAAUUUAUGAGCUUAGAAUUAUCGAUAACGUGAAGCUUCAUUAUAAACUAUCAGGAGGAUUCUCAUCUGACUCGUCCCAUUAAAUUAUUAUUCCCAAACAUGAUUUAUAUUUAAUAAGACAUCAAUUGAACAUCAGUAAAAAUAAUAAUUAAUGAACUAUAUCUUCACAGAAAUACCAAUAGCUUAAAGACAAGCAAAUGCUGUGUACGGUCUGCAGGUCAGCUGUCAAACCUCUCUGAGAAUAUUUGUCUGUUUAGUAUUUAGAAUAUGAUAGUAAACAACAAAGAUAUUGCUGUGGUCUUCAGCUGAUUCUUGUGACAACUGUGGACCACGCCAAACCAUGAACCUGUAAGGCAGAACUGGGAAGUAACAAAGUGUUCUGUGUAGGUGAGGAGGUAAUCUCAAAACACUACAAAUGCCCAAGCAACUUCACGUUUCCACAAACAAAAUGUCAAAAGAAUUUUGGUUUGGGUAAUUUUUUUUCUUUAACAUGAUCUACUGGAUUGAAACGCUCUAUUUCUCCAUACAGAAAGUUAAAAUAAACAAUUUUACUGAUUGAAACUUCUGCCUAAAAACACAUUAAAAUAGCCUAAAGUUCAA